GCUGGCUCUCUCGGGAGCAUGUGCACACUUGUCAUCUUUAUAUCUCCACCUGUGCACCUUUUGUAGAUCUGGAUAUCUUUCUGAAUGCCUGGCAUUCAGGUUUGAGAAUUGACUUUUUGUCUUUCCUUACAUUUCCAGGCCUAUGUUUUCUUCAUAUACACCAUUAUGUUAUAGAAUGUAAUGAAAGGCCUUUGUGCCUACAAACUUUAUACAACUUUCAGCAACGGAUCUCUUGGCUCUCGCAUCGAUGAAGAACGCAGCGAAAUGCGAUAAGUAAUGUGAAUUGCAGAAUUCAGUGAAUCAUCGAAUCUUUGAACGCACCUUGCGCUCCUUGGUAUUCCGAGGAGCAUGCCUGUUUGAGUGUCAUUAAUAUAUCAACCUCCUCAGGUUUUUACUUGUCGAGUGUUUGGAUGUGGGGGUUUCUUUUGCUGGUCUCUUUGAGGUCGGCUCCCCUAAAAUGCAUUAGCGGAACAAUUUGUUGACCCGUUCAUUGGUGUGAUAAUAUCUACGCUUUUGACGUGAAACAGGUUCAGCUUCUAACAGUCCAUUGACUUG
rnacentral:rRNA from 1 species